rnacentral:rRNA from 4 species
GGCUACUACAUCCAAGGAAGGCAGCAGGCGCGCAAAUUACCCAAUCCCGACGCGGGGAGGUAGUGACAAUAAAUACUGAUACAGGGCUCUUUUGGGUCUUGUAAUUGGAAUGAGUACAAUUUAAUUCCCUUAACGAGGAACAAUUGGAGGGCAAGUCUGGUGCCAGCAGCCGCGGUAAUUCCAGCUCCAAUAGCGUAUAUUAAAGUUGUUGCAGUUAAAAAGCUCGUAGUUGAACCUUGGGCCUGGCUGGCCGGUCCGCCUCACCGCGUGCACUGGUCCGGCCGGGCCUUUCCCUCUGGGGAGCCGCAUGCCCUUCACUGGGCGUGUCGGGGAACCAGGACUUUUACUUUGAAAAAAUUAGAGUGUUCAAAGCAGGCUUAUGCUCGAAUACAUUAGCAUGGAAUAAUAGAAUAGGACGUGUGGUUCUAUUUUGUUGGUUUCUAGGACCGCCGUAAUGAUUAAUAGGGACAGUCGGGGGCAUCAGU